rnacentral:lncRNA from 1 species
AAUAUCAACAACACUGCAACUAGCUGGCAUUAGUGCUAUGCUUAGGGCACUGAGCUUACUGCCUUAUAUAACUUGGAAUAUUUCAUAUUCAAGGGAAUGGUUACUAUAAGUGACUGGGAUGACAUAAAGAACAGCUGCUGGAAAGAAUGUGGCCAUUGGUAAAUUCCCCAUGCCCAAGUGGAAGACCUCCAAGUCCAUGUGCAUAAAGACAGUACUAUUGGACUCAGAGGAACCUGUAAAUCUCAACAAUAGGAAGAUUAGAAAGUAAUUUAGAACACAAUGCAAAAAUUUGAACAGAUAAAUUGUUUUAAGAAGACAUGUGGAUGACAGCUAAGUGUAUGGAAAGAUGUUGGACACCAUUUGCUCCUGGUACAGACAGAUUAAAUCACCAUGGGAUAUGAGAGGUGUCUGCCAACAUAUUCCAACCCAAUGAUGAUUCCAAGUGUUUCAGACAUAUGGAGAACCUGGGACCUCAGAUAUACUCCCCAGGAGAAAAAGUGGUGUAACUAUCUUGGAUAUAAUUUGCUAAAUUCUAUAAAACAUUAAGCCUCU